GAGGAAUUUGUGGAAUGGACUUCUGGAUAUAGCAAGGGGCUGACCCUUCUUCUGUUGGGUGAGAAGAACGAAGAAAGACCCAUGAGACUGUAACCGUGGAAUCAAUACCAGUUGAUGGAGCAAGAAAUUGAUUCUGACCUCCAGCUGGCUUCCAGGAAGAAUCGGGUGUCCCGCGGAUGCGCUGCCUUUGUUUGCUUUGGUCGCGCUUCUGGAGGACUCGAGGGCCCCUCCCCACCCAAAGUGGGUCCUGUCCAGCAGCAGGAUAUUGUGGCAGUGUCUCCUGCUGUUUCUGACAAGAAUGAGGAUUGUCUCUCUCAUGAUCUCAUCAUGGGGAUGAUAGAAGUAUAAAAAAAGUUCGUCUCAAGAGCAGCUUAAAGAAGUCUUCCUAUUACACUACAAAUCAAUUAGCUAGUGGGGAGGGUAACUUUCAUGAGACAUCAAAUGAAACAGUUAGCGAGGCCCCUGGUUUUGAGAGGAGGAAAGUGCAGUGGACAGAUGCACACGGGAAAGAACUUGUUGAGGUCAGGGAGCUUGAACUCAGUGCAAGGAAAAGAAAAAUUCAAACUAAUCUUACUGAGAAUUACUGAAGUAUGUUCUGGAUUUUGUCUCCACCAUUACGUGGACAUGAUUUGUAAUUGUGCUACACCUGGCCACAGUUGGGCUUGGUGCGAUCCCUGUCAGCAUCUACACUCAAACAGGUUUUCCAAUCUUUUGCAUUGAUUUGUACCAGCAUCUCUAAGCUUGUGCAUUUGAAGUGGCUUGAAGAGUGCCAUAGAAUCAAAGUUUCUAUGUUAAGCUUGUCCCAAGUCCUCCAGAUAUAAGCUAAAUGAAUCUGGUUUCACCAUUCCGCCUGAUCUGGGGUCCCUAUUUUUGAUAAGAGCUAGCUUGGCUAGAAGAUGCCAGAGAAAAAGCCAGAGAUCCUAUUGGUCUGUCAAUAAACGUACCAUGGCUUCAUGGUUGCCCUGAUCUUGCUGGUGAAAUAGGAAGCACACUACGAAGGCAUUUAUUUUUGAUGUUGGAUUGACAUGAAAUUUUUUGCAAUGCAAUUAGUUUUCAACUCUAAA